CGGAUUGUAGGCUGCAACUCGCCUACAUGAAGUCGGAAUUGCUAGUAAUCGCGGAUCAGCAUGCCGCGGUGAAUACGUUCCCGGGCCUUGUACACACCGCCCGUCACACCAUGGGAGUCGGUAACACCCGAAGCCUGUAGUCUAACCGCAAGGGGGACGCAGUCGAAGGUGGGAUUGAUGACUGGGGUAAAGUCGUAACAAGGUAGC
rnacentral:rRNA from 1 species